CAUUGUUUUCCCCGUUUUAAAGCACACAGUUCUUCUUGAGUCUAUAUCUAGGGCUUGCGAAAAUACCUUUGGGCACUUUGUAGAGGCUUUUUAGAUCCAAAUUCGUCUGUUGUAGUGACCUCCAAUCAGUUCCCAAUAGAUUAAAACAAAUUCCCUCUUAUGUUUAUUUUUCCAGAAGCCAUCUCACUUACAAAUACACCAAAUCAGCACUAAAUAGUUACGAAAUAAAAGGCACAACUGGAUUAUGCUGAUUUUAAAUUUCCAGCAGUACUGAUGCCUACAGGCUUUUUUUUGGUUCUCGUUCUGGAAGUGCUGUCUCACAUGCUGACGGUCCAGGCCAAAGGAAACAUGGACGGGGAAGUCCUCGAAAAUCUGAAAGCAAGGCUGGAGCAGUGGUUGAGGUCAAGAAGGAGGAGCAGCCUGAAGAGGAAAAAGAUGACGUUGUUGAUGCAGGCGCUCUUGAUGAUCAAGGUGACAGUGAUUAUAAACCAGCUGAUGAGGAGGCCAGAUCAAGACUGGCUGUCAAGCACUUCACUCCUUUUCCCUCCUGCUCUUCAUCAUCUCCCGCAUCUACCUCACAGAAAUGUCCUCGCAGGAUGGUGGGACCUCCUCGCAUAUGUCUUUCAGAUUCAGGCUAGGGUUAGUCUAGCUUUUUGGGUCACAGAGGUAAAAUAAGUGAAGUUUUACAAAC